GGUGAGGUAUCCAAGCGGCUAAAGGGUGCAGACUGUAAAUCUGUCGGGAUAUUCCCUUCGUGGGUUCGAACCCCACCCUCACCACCA
rnacentral:tRNA from 1 species